ACUAUAACAUGAAAUAAAUUUUUCCAUGAUGGUCAAAUGAACCUCUAAAGAGCCAAACCUCAAUUUCUAUAAUUAGAAUGUAGGAAAUAUUUGGGGUGAAACUGGUUUUAUUUUCCUCCAAAUGAGUGGCCAAGAGGCUCCUGGACUUUUGACCCUUUCUUUCCACACCCUUCUUCUGGUAUCUGUGAGGAUAUCCCACAUUCCCUUAGAAAUGUGGUCACAAAUAAACCUAGAAGCCCAAAGCAAAGUUCCAACCAGAGCCUCAAGAUGAAUCAGCAGUUGUUUAUUUUCAUCCUAUGAAUUUAUUUAUUCUCAGGUUGUUCCAAAAGAGAGUUGAGAUAGCUUAAUAAAACUUCAGGCGUAAUAGUAAGAGGAUGCAAAUGGUAAGAACGAGGCAAACAGAAACAUGUCUUUAUGUUAAAACUAAUUACGUAUGUAUUUUAAUGCAUAAAUAUUAGUUACCUUCCACUGCUUCAAGCAGUCCCACUAGAGGCCUGAGUGAAACCAGCAAGAAUAAUCUUUCGCUACUCAAGAACAUUGAUUCUGAGAGACCAUGGGUUUCAUGCCUGUCUUGGUGUAGCCUGUGAGGUGGCGGAAGUGUGACCUGCCCAAAGUAGAUGGUCUGCUGAUAUUUUCACGCUGCCAACUGCAGAACUUCAUCAAGGUGAGCUCUUUUUCUGGCCACAUGCUGAGUCCUGAGCCCUUUAUCAGACUCAGCCAUCCUCUGUCCCACCCUAUUGGGGCCCUCUUUCCUAACAGACUAGCUGAACAUCGUCAAAACUAUACCUGAUAAUAUCUUCUUCGGUUCUCCUAAUGUUCUGUCUUCCCUCCCUACGGAUAGGUCCACUUCAACACUUCAGAACUCAGCAAGGCGAGGAUUGUGCUUUAAGGAGGAAAGCUGGCAUUAUACUGGUCUUCCAGCUGCUAGUCCAAUGUUCAUCUACACAGUGCCUACUUCAGUGGAGGGACAGUAGCUGUCAUCGUGGAACACUAAAAGCCUUAUUUUUGGGCAAACAGAACUAUAUGGUGCUCCUCAUGAUCAUUCAUACACACAUCAAUUAUUAAGAACCUUUAACCUGUAAGAUGCUAUGUGGGGCACUGGAGGCGUAAAGAUUAACAGAAAUUUGAAUGCUGGCUUUGCAGGGCUCACAGAUUAACGGUGGAAGCAGAGAAAUAAACAUGGCUUACAGCAAUGGGAUGAGCACAACAACUGAGGUACACAUGAGAGCACAGAGGAAAAUCCUUAAGCCUACCUAAGAUGAUUGAGGAAGAGUUUUCAGAGGAGAUACAUGAUGUCUGUGUUUUGAAACAAGAGUCAGAGUUUGGCUAAGUGGAGGGGCUUUCUACACAGAGGGAAGAGUUGAGGGUAAGGCAGAAAGUCAUUGAAGCCAAUCACUUAUUUGGCAAACUAAAUAUCUGGGUGGUGGUGUAACAGUUAAGAGCUGGAGCUGAGCCUCCUGAGGGAAGUAAAUAAAUUUGGCACUAAUGUUUAUUAACUGUGGAUGAUGGGAACUGUGGAUGACGAGAUUGUUUAAUCUCCGUGCCUCAGUUUGUCCAUCUGUAAAAUGGGAAGAACUUACUUACUGCAUAGGUUCGCCGGCACGUCCAGGACAUCAUAAAGACUCCAUUUGUGUUAGCUGUCGUGGUCUCAUUACGGCUCAGCACAGGAGGGGCAAGGGCCAGGCUGGGACUUGAGACUCCAGCUGUCAGCAGGGACCAGGCAAUAAAAGCUCUGAAAGCCUGAAAAGCUUGGCCAUGCACCCUGACGGGGUAGCCCUAUGCAUCUUCAAGUAGAGAGUUAUGUGGUCAACCAUUUCCCCAUUUAUAAGAAAGUGGCUUACGGAAAGUCAGACCAGAAUCCAGACCAUGCGUGGACUCUGAGAAUGCAUAGGACGUGCUUACCUGGACAACCUUUAGCUAGAUUUAAUCUUUUCAAUGCUGUAAACAGAUGUCCUCAGUUGAAGCAUGUCUUAUCUGCUCUACCAAUCAGAUUGGAGAGAAAGACAGGGUCCAAGAACUCUCGUCCAGAUGAGUGGGUAUGCGAGAUGGGGGAUGUGACCCCGGUGGCAGAUCACCCUUUAACUGCUGAGCUAAUAAAAUGUAUGCUUUGAAGGUGUUUUCAGGUGCCUGCAAAAUGCACACCUGAGAAGUUGUCAGAGCCCGGAGUACCUUUCCCUGGCUUCUAAUAAAACAUUCUCCCAUUAAUAUCUUAUUAAUAAUUCCUUAACCACUACUAGCUAAUUAUUAAUGGAUUUAUUAAAGAUGUUAAAAGAAAAAGAACUGGCAAUCUAUAAUUUUGGGAGUUUAAAUUUUCAGUUAUGCAUGUGGUACAUUAAAUAUUGUGUGUAAUAUAAAAUAUUUUAUAAAAGUGGGGUCACAUUGUACAUUCUAUAUUUAACAUCCUUUCUUUUCUCUUAACACUGCACCGUGAGCACUUUCUCACGUCACUGAAUAGUCUUCUCUAUCUUCGGUUUUAACGGCAACAUAGUUUUUUAUAGUCCAGCUGUGAUGUAAUUUCUUUAACUCAGGCAUCUGUGUGGAUUCUAAAGUUUUACUGUUACAAAAUAAUAUAAAAACAAACAGUCUCCUAGCUAUAUCUCUGCCCAGGUCUGUGAUUUAUUUUCUUCAGGAUUACUCACAGGGAGCAGUUCUGAAGCCUUAAAAGGGCCAGGUUUCAUGGCGACCAUCGGCCAGGACGGGUCUCGCUGAGUCUUCCUGAGCCCUGAGGGGCCUCGAGCGCACUUCUGCAGGCCUUCGCCCCAGCUGCGUGACAGCAGCCGGCUCGCUCUCGCCAGGGCGGGAAGAGAGCAGUUUCCCUCACAGAUCAACUUGUUCUGUGUGAAUGAGAUGCCAGCCCACUCCCUGCUGUUUGGGGCCUGGGUGCAGGGACCACAGGAAGGCGGUUUCGAAGGAUUCCACUUCGAGCACUAUCUGGUUGGCACUGGAGCCAGGCCUCAUCACUCCUGAAUUUCCACUUUAAACCAACAACUGCUUUUCCACUUGCAAUUCUGUAGCCAGAGACUGAGAACAAAAGGAAAGCUUUAAUCCUUAAUGAAGGUUUAUGAUGCUAAAAUGUUUUUGAGUAUUCCUUAAUAUCAUUAUGCUUUCAACGGAAACUCAUUUUGCUUCCCUUCAGUAGAAAGUAAAGAAUUAGAGAAAUAUUUCCUUUCCAAACUAAAUGCCAAUACUUGGAUAUCUGAGGGGAAAAAACAAGUGAUUAGGGUGAUCCAGAGCUUUUUUCUACUAAAAUCUUUAUACUUUCCGUUGAGGAAAACAUAUUUAAUUAUAAUCUACAUGUAAAUAGGUUAUAAUACAUUAUUAUAAAUAUGUAUAUGUAUUUAUUCAUAAAACACUCGAAACUGUUGACAAUAAAAAAACAUGGUGGGUUUUUUGUUGUUAUAUAAAACAAUGCUUGUCACUCUCAAAGAAAGAAUAAGGAACAAGAUAAAGUUACCUGCAAUUCGUCUGCCCAGAGAUAACCAUUGUUAACAUUUUCCUUGUUAAAUAUAUUCAAAUAAAAUAAAAAUAUAGUCAAAUUAAUCACUAUUUAAUAUCUACUUUUCACUUCACAAUAAAUCAAGGUAUCUUUCAAGGAAUUAUGUAUUCUCUUAUUUCAUUUUUAAAAGAUAGACAAUAUCUCAUUGUACUGAUUUCUUUAUUUGAUCCGCUGUGUUACAUCUAGCUGCAUUUUUUUAAAAAAACCUAUUAUAAACAUUGCUGCUAGGAGCAACUUGUAGCUGUACUUUGUCUCAAUCUCUAAUUAUUUCUUGAAAAAACUGUCUCCAGGAAGAUUAUACCAAUUUACUCACUCACCAGCCAUUAUGAACACACCCUUGUCAGCACUGGCUAUGAUUAAAAACGAAUAAACAAAGUCCUUACUAAAUAGCAUACCUUUGCUAUUUUAAUUUGCAUUUCUUUGAUUCUUAAUGAGCACACACAGUUUUAUUCUUUGGGGUCAUUAUUUUCAAUCACUCUCAAUUAAAGGAAUAGUUGUUUAUCAAUUUACUUCCCUGAAUGCCAUUUCCCUGAACAUUCUGAUAAGCCACAGCUAGAGAGAACACUGCACGUUCAAACAUUAAUUAUAGGUGGGAGAAGGAGAGAAGGUAAUCAUAUAAUUAUUAAUAUACAUAAUGUAAUAUUUAAUAAUUAUAUACUGUUAAUGGCUUAUCUCUCUUAAAACGGAAGCAUCCGAACGUUAAAAUGCUUCCAAGGUUAUCGUCAGGAAAUUGGGCUUGGAGCUGAAUCCUGAUGCUUCCAGUCUGUUGGGCUGCACCUCCUUGCAGGAGAGCGAUGGGAUUCACUGACACGCUCCGCCCGGGAACGAUGGGGAUAACGUUUGAAACCCAGGGGUAGGUUUUCUAGCUCCGGGAAGCAGUCGAUUGCGCAGAGAACAAUAGUUCGGAAACUCAGCCCUCGGAGGACCGCCUGAACAGGCGCCGCAUCAAGUUCAGGGCCGCUCCGCGUCUCAGCUGUUCAUUAACGCCACAGAGCAGGAGAGAGGGAGGUUGCCAUGGCGACACUGCCGCACGUGCCGCGCCGAGGAGGGCGGGGCGGCGUGGCGGUCCGCAGUGUUACAGGAGGGCGUGGCGGCCGCCUCGCCUUGGCCCUGGAGGGGCCCCCAGCGCGGGCGUGUGGCCGCGCUCAGGCUGCUGCUGGGAGGCGGAGGCUACCUGGCGGCGCGGGCCGGGCGCAUGCGGCCCCGCGGGAGGACGACGAGCCGGCGGCACAGAGCAGCCCUCUCCCGGCAACCGCGAUGCUGCAGAUGCUAUGAAAGUUCAAAAAGGCUGGAAGUCUGUUGAUGUGAAAGCCAGAUAUUGGUGUGACCAGACCACUUCAAAAUCUUCACCUCAGAGGCAAGUUGGUGGAGUGACUGAAUGAAGAGCAUGAGCUUUGAAAUUGGACAGAGCUGAAUUUGAAUCUCUCCUCAGCAGCCUACUAGACCUGUGACCCGAGGUGCCUAUGGGACAUUCAAGUGGAGAUGGCCAAUGAUCAGUUGAGUUCUGAGGAGAUUCCACCAUGAACAUGGAAGUUAAUACACAGAGCAAGGCACAGAAGAAGCUCAAGCUGACACAGAGGCACAGCAUCUCGUCUGCACCUUCCCAUCUCUGAACUGGUUUUAUCUUGCUGCUUGCUGCCUCGGAGAUUCACCUCCAACCCCUUACCUCAGCCCAGGUGAAAAGGAUUCUGUGGAAGUUCAACCCUCCCCGACAAGCAGGCCGUCCGUGACCUCCGGCACUAGGGAAAUAGCCAGAACCAUAGGCUCCAAGGGAUAGAUAAAAUAAGAAAACAAAACACAAAAGGGGAGGAGGCUCUGCAAACGGUCAGACUUCUACAGAGUCUUAGGGAGAAAAUGUCUUUCCUUUUCUAUGGGGACAUGAAUGAGCUUUUUAUCGAAACCAAGCUCAGGAGCCUGAAUAGCUAGAAAAUGAAGAGCAUUAAUAAUUUCUUCUCUCAGAGGUGUGACUAUAAAAUUAAAGAAUGAGUCAUAUUCUGCUGUUUAGUCUAUGAAACUAAGAACUGGUUUUUUCUUUGUUUCUUUUUCUCUUCCCCUCCUCAAAAGAAUGCACAGAUGAUUUAAGGAGUCUUGGAUUACAACAUACCUAAAAUAAUAAAGUAAUUGAGGGAGAAAAAAUCAGCUAAAGGUGUAAACCCCUCCAGGCUGGAUGACUGGGGUGUAUUUCAUCUUCUCAUUUUAAAUCAGUGUGAAGCAAGGCACAGAAAUGUUUACCUUUGUCUGAUCUCUAAUUCCCUAAAUUUAUGUGGAAUCAUGCACAGAUGCGCUGGAAACCAGCCUGGAAAAGCCUGGCAUUUUAAUUGAUCCCAGAGCUCCUUGCCUCACGGCUCCUGCUGUGAUGAAGUCGGCUACUUGUCCCAAAGACUCUCCGCCCGGUUGCCUAGCCACCGGCAGCUGGCCAAUCGAGGCGUCCACAUGUGUGGAGGAAGUAACCAAUCAAUUUUUUAAUUUCCUUCUGUAAACGCGAGAGAUUCAGGGAGGAUUUGAAGCCUCAUUAGUCAAAAGUGAGACAAGUAGUGUGCAUUUUAACAUAUGUAUUAGUGAAUACAUUUGGCGUUUUGUCGUAAAUUCUGAUGAAUAGUUCAAAGCCCAUUUCAGACAAGUUUGAAUCUUGAGUAGCUAACUUACUUUUUGAUCAGUUUUAUGUUCUUACCGCCCAAUCUGGGUGUAAAGUUUCGAUAGACUUUUCUUUUCCUAUUUAACACCUGCCUCUUUAAAAACCAGCUUCUCAUCAAACUUUCCUUCUAGAGGAACAGCACCUCAUCUUUCCAAAUCAUCCAAAUUCGGUAUAUUAGACUCAUAGUUGACUAACUUUUUGCCUUCAUUACCCAAUCCGCCCAGGCAUCUGUUUUUGGUUUUUGGGUUUUCCCCCUAUUUUGACCCUAUUUCUCCAUUCCCAUGACCAAUACUCUGGUCCAAGGCCCAGAUUUCUUCACAUUUGGAUUCUGAAACAGCCUUGGCUCUCGUUCCCCUAAUGUGCGCUAUAAGCCAUCAUCAGCUGUCAUCACUUCAGUCCUUUUCUGGAAAACCUUUACUCAAGUGCAGGUGGCCGUGAGCUGAAGUCAGCACUUACUGAUUGGCAUCGGCCACAAAGUUGUCUUGCAUCUCUUAGCCAGUUUCCUUAUCUCUAAACGUGGAGAUAACCAGAUUAAAGGAGAUGCGGUCCAUCCUUAUUCUGGCUCAUAUUACAUAUAUAUUAUUUAUUGUAUAAAUAUACAUAUGCAUAUGUAUCUUCUAUUUUUAUUUUCACUACUAUUAUUUAAUAGCUCCUCUUUUUGGUAACCUUUUCCUUGUGUUUUCAAGGUCCUUCAUAAUCUGGUCUCCAUCUCUCCAUCUGUCCAUCCUUGUUUCCAAUAUAUUCCUUUCCACACCCCUUUCCUUACUGCAUGGACCCAUCACUCUAAUCAGAUAGUCUCCUCUCCGAGCCUCAAAUUCAUCAUGUUAUACACUUGUGUCAUCCCCUAACUCCUAUUUGUCCUUCAGAUCACAAACUCAAGCACCACUUCCUAGUGGAAGGUGCCUUUAUCAUAUACUGUCAAAGAACAGUCCAUUUUCCUCAGAAGACUUUUCUCAGUUUGUGAUUCUACACUGCUAGUACAACUAUUGCCUGUACAACUGUUGAACGACUUGGUGUUGCCUCCCCUUCUAUGCAGAGACUUCUGUGAGAACAGAACGGUGUGCGUUUCUGUCUACCACUCUGUUCCUAGCGCCUAAUAUGGUAAGUGUGGUAUAUGUAUUUGUUAUGAGAAUGUUGUUGAUUCUUAUCAACUGAAAUGGCCUCUACCCUUUCCCUCCUUUCAUAUCUCAAAAAUCUUAUCCUUUGAAACACCAUAUUAAUUCCAUUAGAGGGAAUCAAUAUUCAAAUAAACAUUUAUUGAAACAUUCUUUGUGCCCUAUAUUAUGAUGGGUAAUAUAGAGGGAUUAUUUUCUCUGACUUCAUGAUGAAAUCCUGGAUAAAGAGACAAAAAUAAA